AUGUCGCCGUGUCUCGAGCUGCGUUGCUUCCCUCUCCAACAGGCCACCUUCCCCUCAUCUCAGAUCCCUCCGUCCGUGGUCAUGGAUGAUGUGCAGGCCGCCCGUGCUGCUCCUGGAGCUGCCCUUCUCGAGCUCGGUGUUGCUGUGCUCCCCAACCCCCUCCGCCAGCGUCAGAUCCGGCAAGCUGGCCCAAGAGCACCAGCAUCACGCCCUCCCCACCAUGGUAGGCCGAGCUCCUCCUCACGCUGGCCUCCUCCAUCAAGGUCGUCGAGCUCCCUCUCCUCUGCAACGGCCUCGAGGUCGACACUACCACAGAAUUGUAAGAUUGGUACUGUGUAA
rnacentral:rRNA from 1 species